CCAUGCAUGUGUAAGUAUAAAGACCAAGAAGGAUGAAACUGCGAACGGCUCAUUACAACAGUUAUAAUUUCUUUGAUUAGUAAAAUAUAAGGAAUACCUUUGUGAAUAAUAAAGAUAAUACUUGAAACGAUCCUAAUUGAAUCCAAUCAAUUAGGCAUAAUUAUCAACCGAUAGUUAUAGGAAAGAAGUUUAUUAAGAAAAAGAACAAAUUUUACAAUUGUAGAAAUCGUAAGAUUUUAACAAGUAAUCAAUGAAAAUAUCUGAUCUAUCAACUAGUUGGUAGUAUAGAGGACUACCAAGGUUAUAACGGAUAACGAGAAAUUAGGGUUUGACAUCGGAGAAGGAGCUUUAAAAAUGGCUACUACUUCUAAGGAAGGCAGCAGGCGCGUAAAUUACCCACUUUUAACAUAAAGAGGUAGUGACGACAAAUAACUCUUUUAAAGCCGUAAGGUUUUAAUUGAAGGAAUGAAUAUAAUGUAAAUAAUUAUAUGAAAGCAAUUGGAGGGCAAGUCUGGUGCCAGCAGCCGCGGUAAUUCCAGCUCCAAUAGUG
rnacentral:rRNA from 1 species